UACGGAGGGUGCAAGCGUUAUCCGGAUUCACUGGGCUUAAAGGGCGCGUAGGAGGGCAGGUAAGUCAGUGGUGAAAUCUUUGGGCUUAACCCGAAAACUGCCAUUGAUACUAUCUGUCUUGAAUGCGGUGGAGGUGAGCGGAAUAUGUCAUGUAGCGGUGAAAUGCUUAGAUAUGACAUAGAACACCGAUUGCGAAGGCAGCUCGCUACACCUGCAUUGACUCUGAGGCACGAAAGCGUGGGGAUCAAACAGG
rnacentral:rRNA from 1 species